rnacentral:rRNA from 1 species
UACGGGGGGAGCAAGCGUUGUUCGGAUUUACUGGGCGUAAAGGGCGCGUAGGCGGCGCAACAAGUCACUUGUGAAAUCUCCGGGCUUAACUCGGAAAGGUCAACUGAUACUGUGCGACUAGAGUGCAGAAGGGGCAACUGGAAUUCUCGGUGUAGCGGUGAAAUGCGCAGAUAUCAGGAGGAACACCGAUGGCGAAGGCAGGUCUCUGGGCCAUAACUGACGCUGAGAAGCGAAAGCAUGGGGGAGCGAACAGG